CCUCAGGACAGGAAUUGUCUCUGUCUGCUAGAAGGAUGCCACAAACAUUUGUGGCACAAGACAAAUGUGUUCUAGAAACAAAUGUGUUUAUUCUAGAAAGCAGGUGCAACCACAGAAAGAGGAGAAAAUCCAGCAGAAACAGGAGCUUGGCCAGUGGCAUCUCUAGUGUCUUCUAGUUGGUAGUGAUCGUGAAAGAAAAUUUUGUGGCUGAUAAGCUUCCACAUGUGUAAUGUGACAGAAGUUUAAAGGAAAACUGUCAAACAAGAACAGUGAAAGAUCAUCCAUAAUCAAGAUACUACCAUCCAUGUGAAAGUAUAUAGAGUUAUUUUGAAGGGAGAGAGUGAAAAACAGAAGAAAUAUGGCCAUUACUUCAUAAAAGAGCUUGUAGCCUUCUCCUACAUAUCCCAUCUUUGCCAUCAGCCUGUGUAGCUGUAUGUCCAUCUCCAAGCCUGGGAACAGCCAGUGAAAUCCCCACUGAGAACUACUGCACAGGAGUACAAACUCUAAAAUUUUUAAGCAUUAUUUAGAAAGUGUAUAAAUGUAUGUUAACCCAUUACAAGUUUCCAUUAAUUUUUUUUUUAAUAACACAUGAAUAUUUUGGAGAGUGGCAACUCAGAUGAACAGAAAAAAAGCCUACAUAGGAGAAAGUUGAAGAGACAAUGGCCAUGUCUUUGGUCUCCCAACACAUAACAGGCUUUGAAGUCUUUCACAGCCCUUGGCCUUACGUGGGGUCCAAGGGAGGAAGGGGUCAAGCCACAUGGGAUACUCCUGAUCAGUUUAUAAGGAGCCUUGAGAUGUUCUGGAGACCCUCAUCUCCAGGGCAACCUCAUUCUUCCAGAUCUGCUCCUACAGCUCCUGGCUGAGCUCCUCUCUCUCCUUUCUGAAACUCUGCAUCUCAAGGUGGCAUUAGCAGCAGCCUACUUCCCUUCCCAAGCCUAAAAGG
rnacentral:lncRNA from 1 species